CUAAUACAUGCUAAAAACCGCGACUUCGGAAGGGGUGUAUUUAUUAGAUAAAAAACCGAUGCCCUCCGGGGCUCCUUGGUGAUUCAUAAUAACUCAACGAAUCGCAUGGCCUUGCGCCGGCGAUGGUUCAUUCAAAUUUCUGCCCUAUCAACUUUCGAUUGUAAGGUAUUGGUACGUUUUGCCCCUUUUCUCUUCUCCCGGGUGCGGAUUGCUAACGUCGGAUAUUUGCAGGCUUACAAUGGUUUCAACGGGUAACGGGGAAUUAGGGUUCUAUUCCGGAGAGGGAGCCUGAGAAACGGCUACCACAUCCAAGGAAGGCAGCAGGCGCGCAAAUUACCCAAUCCCGACACGGGGAGGUAGUGACAAUAAAUACUGAUGCAGAGCUCUUUUGGGCUUUGCAAUUGGAAUGAGUACAAUUUAAAUCUCUUAACGAGGAACAAUUGGAGGGCAAGUCUGGUGCCAGCAGCCGCGGUAAUUCCAGCUCCAAUAGCGUAUAUUAAAGUUGUUGCAGUUAAAAAGCUCGUAGUUGAACCUUGGGUCUGGCUGACCGGUCCGCCUCACCGCGUGCACUGGUUCGGCCGGACCUUUCCUUCUGGGGAGCCGCAUGUUCUUCGUUGAGCGUGCCGGGGAACCAGGACUUUUACUUUGAAAAAAUUAGAGUGUUCAAAGCAGGCCUAUGCUCGGAUACAUUAGCAUGGAAUAAUAGAAUAGGACGUUGCGGUUCUAUUUUGUUGGUUUCUAGGACCGCCG
rnacentral:rRNA from 1 species